rnacentral:rRNA from 1 species
ACGGGGGGGGCAAGCGUUGUUCGGAAUUACUGGGCGUAAAGGGUUCGUAGGUGGCUCGCUAAGUCACACGUGAAAUCCCUCAGCUUAACUGGGGAACUGCGUGUGAGACUGGCAAGCUCGAGUGCAGGAGAGGAAUGCGGAAUUCCAGGUGUAGCGGUGAAAUGCGUAGAUAUCUGGAGGAACACCGGUGGCGAAGGCGGCAUUCUGGACUGCAACUGACACUGAGGAACGAAAGCCAGGGGAGCAAACGGGA